rnacentral:rRNA from 1 species
GAUGUUAGCGGCGGACGGGUGAGUAACACGUGGAUAACCUACCUAUAAGACUGGGAUAACUUCGGGAAACCGGAGCUAAUACCGGAUAAUAUUUUGAACCGCAUGGUUCAAAAGUGAAAGACGGUCUUGCUGUCACUUAUAGAUGGAUCCGCGCUGCAUUAGCUAGUUGGUAAGGUAACGGCUUACCAAGGCAACGAUGCAUAGCCGACCUGAGAGGGUGAUCGGCCACACUGGAACUGAGACACGGUCCAGACUCCUACGGGAGGCAGCAGUAGGGAAUCUUCCGCAAUGGGCGAAAGCCUGACGGAGCAACGCCGCGUGAGUGAUGAAGGUCUUCGGAUCGUAAAACUCUGUUAUUAGGGAAGAACAUAUGUGUAAGUAACUGUGCACAUCUUGACGGUACCUAAUCAGAAAGCCACGGCUAACUACGUGCCAGCAGCCGCGGUAAUACGUAGGUGGCAAGCGUUAUCCGGAAUUAUUGGGCGUAAAGCGCGCGUAGGCGGUUUUUUAAGUCUGAUGUGAAAGCCCACGGCUCAACCGUGGAGGGUCAUUGGAAACUGGAAAACUUGAGUGCAGAAGAGGAAAGUGGAAUUCCAUGUGUAGCGGUGAAAUGCGCAGAGAUAUGGAGGAACACCAGUGGCGAAGGCGACUUUCUGGUCUGUAACUGACGCUGAUGUGCGAAAGCGUGGGGAUCAAACAGGAUUAGAUACCCUGGUAGUCCACGCCGUAAACGAUGAGUGCUAAGUGUUAGGGGGUUUCCGCCCCUUAGUGCUGCAGCUAACGCAUUAAGCACUCCGCCUGGGGAGUACGACCGCAAGGUUGAAACUCAAAGGAAUUGACGGGGACCCGCACAAGCGGUGGAGCAUGUGGUUUAAUUCGAAGCAACGCGAAGAACCUUACCAAAUCUUGACAUCCUUUGACAACUCUAGAGAUAGAGCCUUCCCCUUCGGGGGACAAAGUGACAGGUGGUGCAUGGUUGUCGUCAGCUCGUGUCGUGAGAUGUUGGGUUAAGUCCCGCAACGAGCGCAACCCUUAAGCUUAGUUGCCAUCAUUAAGUUGGGCACUCUAAGUUGACUGCCGGUGACAAACCGGAGGAAGGUGGGGAUGACGUCAAAUCAUCAUGCCCCUUAUGAUUUGGGCUACACACGUGCUACAAUGGACAAUACAAAGGGCAGCGAAACCGCGAGGUCAAGCAAAUCCCAUAAAGUUGUUCUCAGUUCGGAUUGUAGUCUGCAACUCGACUACAUGAAGCUGGAAUCGCUAGUAAUCGUAGAUCAGCAUGCUACGGUGAAUACGUUCCCGGGUCUUGUACACACCGCCCGUCACACCACGAGAGUUUGUAACACCCGAAGCCGGUGGAGUAACCUUUUAGGAGCUAGCCGUCGAAGGUGGGACAAAUGAUUGGGGUGAAGUCGUAACAAGGUAGCCGUAUCGGAAGGUGCGGCUGGAUCACCUCCUU